rnacentral:rRNA from 1 species
GAUGAACGCUGGCGGCGUGCCUAAUACAUGCAAGUCGAGCGAACGGACGAGAAGCUUGCUUCUCUGAUGUUAGCGGCGGACGGGUGAGUAACACGUGGAUAACCUACCUAUAAGACUGGGAUAACUUCGGGAAACCGGAGCUAAUACCGGAUAAUAUUUUGAACCGCAUGGUUCAAAAGUGAAAGACGGUCUUGCUGUCACUUAUAGAUGGAUCCGCGCUGCAUUAGCUAGUUGGUAAGGUAACGGCUUACCAAGGCAACGAUGCAUAGCCGACCUGAGAGGGUGAUCGGCCACACUGGAACUGAGACACGGUCCAGGCUCCUACGGGAGGCAGCAGUAGGGAAUCUUCCGCAAUGGGCGAAAGCCUGACGGAGCAACGCCGCGUGAGUGAUGAAGGUCUUCGGAUCGUAAAACUCUGUUAUUAGGGAAGAACAUAUGUGUAAGUAACUGUGCACAUCUUGACGGUACCUAAUCAGAAAGCCACGGCUAACUACGUGCCAGCAGCCGCGGUAAUACGUAGGUGGCAAGCGUUAUCCGGAAUUAUUGGGCGUAAAGCGCGCGUAGGCGGUUUUUUAAGUCUGAUGUGAAAGCCCACGGCUCAACCGUGGAGGGUCAUUGGAAACUGGAAGACUUGAGUGCAGAAGAGGAAAGUGGAAUUCCAUGUGUAGCGGUGAAAUGCGCAGAGAUAUGGAGGAACACCAGUGGCGAAGGCGACUUUCUGGUCUGUAACUGACGCUGAUGUGCGAAAGCGUGGGGAUCAAACAGGAUUAGAUACCCUGGUAGUCCACGCCGUAAACGAUGAGUGCUAAGUGUUAGGGGGUUUCCGCCCCUUAGUGCUGCAGCUAACGCAUUAAGCACUCCGCCUGGGGAGUACGACCGCAAGGUUGAAACUCAAAGGAAUUGACGGGGACCCGCACAAGCGGUGGAGCAUGUGGUUUAAUUCGAAGCAACGCGAAGAACCUUACCAAAUCUUGACAUCCUUUGACAACUCUAGAGAUAGAGCCUUCCCCUUCGGGGGACAAAGUGACAGGUGGUGCAUGGUUGUCGUCAGCUCGUGUCGUGAGAUGUUGGGUUAAGUCCCGCAACGAGCGCAACCCUUAAGCUUAGUUGCCAUCAUUAAGUUGGGCACUCUAAGUUGACUGCCGGUGACAAACCGGAGGAAGGUGGGGAUGACGUCAAAUCAUCAUGCCCCUUAUGAUUUGGGCUACACACGUGCUACAAUGGACAAUACAAAGGGCAGCGAAACCGCGAGGUCAAGCAAAUCCCAUAAAGUUGUUCUCAGUUCGGAUUGUAGUCUGCAACUCGACUACAUGAAGCUGGAAUCGCUAGUAAUCGUAGAUCAGCAUGCUACGGUGAAUACGUUCCCGGGUCU